CCCACCUUCUAAAUACACACACACACAGUCAGACACAAAAACACACACACACAGUCAGACACAUACACACACACACACAGUCAGACACAUACACACACACACAGUCAGACACAUACACACACACACACAGUCAGACACAUACACACACACACACACAGUCAGACACAUACACACACACACACAGUCAGACACAUACACAGACACA